GGGUUGUGAGGUUAAGCGACUAAGCGUACACGGUGGAUGCCUAGGCAGUCAGAGGCGAUGAAGGGCGUGCUAAUCUGCGAAAAGCGUCGGCAAGGUGAUAUGAACCGUUACACCCGACGAUACCCGAAUGGGGAAACCCAGUGCAAUACGUUGCACUAUUUCAUGGUGAAUACAUAGCCAUGAAAGGCGAACCGGGGGAACUGAAACAUCUCAGUACCCCGAGGAAAAGAAAUCAACCGAGAUUCCCCCAGUAGCGGCGAGCGAACGGGGAGGAGCCCAGAACCAUCAUCAGUUUGUGUGUUAGUGGAAGCGUCUGGAAAGUCGCACG
rnacentral:rRNA from 1 species